GAAUUAGAAAAUUCAGGUGUGGAGGAACAUGAACAAACUGAAAUGGAUGACCCAGUCAACAAAGUGAUCUUAGUGACUAUCAAUUGACUAGGGAUAGGCCUAGAAGGAACAUAAGAGAACCUACAAGAUAUGAAGACUAUCUAUCCUAUUCUGUCAUGUCUUAUAAUGACCUAACCUAUAAGGAACCCAAGACCUAUAGUGAAGCCAUGAGUUGUAACCAGUCUGGCAAGUGGGAAGUUGCCAUGAGAGAAGAGAUGAGUUCUCUAAUGAAGAAUAAAACUUGGGAUCUUGUGCCUAGACCCAAAAAUAAAUCCAUAGUUGACUGUAAAUGGAUUUACAAGGUGAAAGAAGGCAGUUCAGAUAAUGAGCCUGUGAGAUUUAAAGCAAGAUUAGUUGCUAAAGGGUUUACACAAAAACAGGGUGUAGAUUACAAUGAGAUAUUUUCACCCGUUGUAAAAUACACAACUAUAAGAGUCCUACUAGCAUUAGUUGCACAUCACAAUUGGGAAUUAGAACAAAUGGAU
rnacentral:lncRNA from 1 species